AGCUCAUAGCGUAUAUUAAAGUUGCUGCAGUUAAAAAGCUCGUAGUUGAAUUUCGGGACCAUCAUGUCGGUCGUGCCUCGGUACGUACUGGCAUYGUYGGUUUCUCCCUUCUGACGAACCAUGAUGUCAUUUAUUUGGUGUYGUGGGGAAUCAGGACUGUUACUUUGAAAAAAUUAGAGUGUUUAAAGCAGGCUCACGCUUGAAUACAUUAGCAUGGAAUAAUGAAAUAGGACGUUUGAUUCUAUUUUGUUGGUUUCUAGGAUCGACGUAAUGAUUAAUAGGGAUAGUUGGGGGCAUUAGUAUUCAAUUGUCAGAGGUGAAAUUCUUGGAUUUAUUGAAGACUAACUACUGCGAAAGCAUUUGCCAAGGAUGUUUUCAUUAAUCAAGAACGAAAGUUAGGGGAUCGAAGACGAUCAGAUACCGUCGUAGUCUUAACCAUAAACUAUGCCGACUAGGGAUCGGAUGAUGUUAAUUUUUUAAUGACUCAUUCGGCG
rnacentral:rRNA from 1 species